UACGUAGGGAGCAAGCGUUGUCCGGAAUCAUUGGGCGUAAAGCGCGCGUAGGCGGCCCCGUAAGUCCGCUGUGAAAGUCAAAGGCUCAACCUUUGAAAGCCGGUGGAUACUGUGGGGCUAGAGUCCGGAAGAGGAGAGUGGAAUUCCUGGUGUAGCGGUGGAAUGCGCAGAUAUCAGGAGGAACACCAAUAGCGAAGGCAGCUCGCUGGGACGGUACUGACGCUAAGGCGCGAAAGCGUGGGGAGCGAACAGG
rnacentral:rRNA from 1 species